rnacentral:rRNA from 1 species
UCGAGCGAGCACUUCGUUUUGAAUCUUCGGAGGAAGAACGGAAUGACUGAGCGGCGGACGGGUGAGUAACGCGUGGGCAACCUGCCUCAUACAGGGGGAUAACAGUUAGAAAUGACUGCUAAUACCGCAUAAGACCGCGGUACCGCAUGGUACAGCGGUAAAAACUCCGGUAGUAUGAGAUGGGCCCGCGUCUGAUUAGCUAGUUGGCGGGGUAACGGCCCACCAAGGCGACGAUGCGUAGGGGUUCUGAGAGGAAGGCCCCCCACACUGGGACUGAGACACGGCCCAGACUCCUACGGGAGGCAGCAGUGAGGAAUAUUGGUCAAUGGGCGGAAGCCUGAACCAGCCAAGUCGCGUGAGGGAUUAAGGCCCUGCGGGUCGUAAACCUCUUUUGCCGGGGAGCAGUGGUCCGGACGUGUCCGGGCCGGGAGAGUACCCGGAGAAAAAGCAUCGGCUAACUCCGUGCCAGCAGCCGCGGUAAUACGGAGGAUGCGAGCGUUAUCCGGAUUUAUUGGGUUUAAAGGGUGCGUAGGCGGGCAUUUAAGCCGGCGGUCAAAUGUCGGGGCUCAACCCCGGCCUGCCGUCGGAACUGGGUGCCUUGAGUGGGCGAGAAGUAUGCGGAAUGCGUGGUGUAGCGGUGAAAUGCAUAGAUAUCACGCAGAACCCCGAUUGCGAAGGCAGCGUACCGGCGCCCAACUGACGCUGAAGCACGAAGGCGUGGGUAUCGAACAG